rnacentral:rRNA from 1 species
CCUUUUGUAUAAUGGGUCAGCGACUUAUAUUCUGUAGCAAGGUUAACCGAAUAGGGGAGCCGAAGGGAAACCGAGUCUUAACUGGGCGUUAAGUUGCAGGGUAUAGACCCGAAACCCGGUGAUCUAGCCAUGGGCAGGUUGAAGGUUGGGUAACACUAACUGGAGGACCGAACCGACUAAUGUUGAAAAAUUAGCGGAUGACUUGUGGCUGGGGGUGAAAGGCCAAUCAAACCGGGAGAUAGCUGGUUCUCCCCGAAAGCUAUUUAGGUAGCGCCUCGUGAAUUCAUCUCCGGGGGUAGAGCACUGUUUCGGCAAGGGGGUCAUCCCGACUUACCAACCCGAUGCAAACUGCGAAUACCGGAGAAUGUUAUCACGGGAGACACACGGCGGGUGCUAACGUCCGUCGUGAAGAGGGAAACAACCCAGACCGCCAGCUAAGGUCCCAAAGUCAUGGUUAAGUGGGAAACGAUGUGGGAAGGCCCAGACAGCCAGGAUGUUGGCUUAGAAGCAGCCAUCAUUUAAAGAAAGCGUAAUAGCUCACUGGUCGAGUCGGCCUGCGCGGAAGAUGUAACGGGGCUAAACCAUGCACCGAAGCUGCGGCAGCGACACUGUGUGUUGUUGGGUAGGGGAGCGUUCUGUAAGCCUGUGAAGGUGUACUGUGAGGUAUGCUGGAGGUAUCAGAAGUGCGAAUGCUGACAUAAGUAACGAUAAAGCGGGUGAAAAGCCCGCUCGCCGGAAGACCAAGGGUUCCUGUCCAACGUUAAUCGGGGCAGGGUGAGUCGACCCCUAAGGCGAGGCCGAAAGGCGUAGUCGAUGGGAAACAGGUUAAUAUUCCUGUACUUGGUGUUACUGCGAAGGGGGGACGGAGAAGGCUAUGUUGGCCGGGCGACGGUUGUCCCGGUUUAAGCGUGUAGGCUGGUUUUCCAGGCAAAUCCGGAAAAUCAAGGCUGAGGCGUGAUGACGAGGCACUACGGUGCUGAAGCAACAAAUGCCCUGCUUCCAGGAAAAGCCUCUAAGCAUCAGGUAACAUCAAAUCGUACCCCAAACCGACACAGGUGGUCAGGUAGAGAAUACCAAGGCGCUUGAGAGAACUCGGGUGAAGGAACUAGGCAAAAUGGUGCCGUAACUUCGGGAGAAGGCACGCUGAUAUAUAGGUGAAGUCCCUCGCGGAUGGAGCUGAAAUCAGUCGAAGAUACCAGCUGGCUGCAACUGUUUAUUAAAAACACAGCACUGUGCAAACACGAAAGUGGACGUAUACGGUGUGACGCCUGCCCGGUGCCGGA